AAGAAUGCAUAGAAAAAAGCAGUUAAAAUUUGUUUAUUAGCAAUAAAAUUUGUCUACAGGAAACAUGGCAGCUUUCAUCUUUUGGAUAUGCUUGAUAGACUAGGUCAGUAGAAAGAUUCAUGUUUGCUAGCAAUACUCACUGGAUACGCUUGAUUGCUAUCAUACAAGUGUUUUUUUCAGAAGUUUGUGUUUAAGUAUAAGUUCAAUGCUCAUCUGGCAGCCUGUUCUUUCAUUUUAUUGCACAACCCGUUUCGAUCGUCUGUUUAGUUGUUCUCAUUGUUCAUUUCCAUCUUAGGGGCAUUAUUAUAGCAUAGAAUAUUCUUCUCCCAUCUACGUUGCAGUCUACUUUGUAGAUCUUACUUCGUCAGCCUCUAUUCAAGUAUUUGAAAACUGCCACUCUUUUUUCUUUGAACUGCUUAAAUGAAGUCUUCUUUGCUCUCUCUCAAUGUUCUUUUUAUUUCACUUCGAAAAUCCCAGUCUUUUCCAGUCUAUUUGUGGUCAGCUUCACAUAUCCUACUUUGUCAUCAUUUUUUUUGUGCAAGUCUUCAAGAACAAGAAUCAUCCUUCUUUUAUUCUUUUUAUUUGAUUACAGACAUCCAUGUCCCGUUUUGUCUCUGCCUCCUCUUUUGUAAACAUUCAUCCUGAAACUUGUGCCACUUCUUUUCUCGACCCUUUUCAGGUUCUUCAUCAACAUGGAGGUUGGUAUAUCAGUUUGCUUUUAUUCUGCAAACAGCUACAAAUUUUUUCUAGGUAGAGCACUGGAUUAUUUGAUUAAUUAAAUUCAGAAUCGGCUGUCAUCAUGAUUAAUCUUUCUUUUUUUUUGCAUUCACCCCUUCCUCUGCAUUGGUUCAGGUAUUCUUUUUUUUUUUUUCUGACAUGCAAGAUGCAAAACUUACCAGCAUGCUUUUGGAGAAUAGAAAGCAGAUUCAGUUGCCCAUCAAAUGAAUGAAUUAGAUGGUGAAAUAACACAACGAACACAUACGAUUGAAGAGGGUCUACUGGAAAAAUACCUCUGUAGAUGAUAAAUUUUUGAUGUAUAUUGGCCCUUUCCAAGCAGUUCAUCUUCGAAAGGAAUUUCUUGGCUUCCUCCUACCUCCUCCAGUGACAUGGGCAUCACAAUCCGGCUAAGAAGAAAGACUGGUCAAGGUGAACAAAAAGUGAUGCAUAAGGUCAGCUUUUUGGAAAUGCUUUCCUCCAUCUGUUGCAGUGCUUCUUGAUUAAUUAGUUCCAUUUACUAAAAAACCAUCAACUCUGAUCUCUUUUCCGUUCAUUGCAUAAAACUUUUUUCGAGGAAUAAUGGAGGAAGUGAGACUUUUCACCCAGCUUUGAAGAUUGAUGAGAGUGGAGCAAUGUAUACAACUUGGAGUAAUGUAGAGAACAUGCAAAUGGAAAGCAAAUCUAUCAAACACUAUGAUCACAGAAGAUGCAUGCAAAUAAUGCUGGUGCCUGGUGCAACAUGAGUUUGUCAUCAAGGGAUACAACUCUUUGAUCUGAACCAUUCCGAAAGGCUGGAGAGCCAAAUGGGAUGACGAAGGUUCUUCCAAUUUUUUUCCUCCUCCAACUCCUUCGGGUGGGAUUCAACCACUCCUCUCCUAUUUGAUUGCCAAGAGAACACGCAAGUUAUCUUGUAAAUAUGUCAUGCAUUUCCAUGAACUUCAC